ACAGACAGACAGAGAAAUGAAGUUAAAGUGAACAGGAUGAAAAAAGAGAGGCUUAGUUGCGAUAGACCUCUUGCUGACUCAUUCUACUUAAUUUAUCUCAUCUUCUCCUCCCUAUCUUUUCUUUCUUUCUUUCUUUCUUUCUUUAUUUCUC
rnacentral:ribozyme from 11 species